rnacentral:Y_RNA from 1 species
GGCUGGUCCCAAGGAAGUGAGUUAUCUCACUUGAUUGUUCACAGUCAGUUACAGAUUGAAUUUUUUGUUCUACUACUUUCCCCCCUUCUCACUCACUAUUGCACUGGUGCAAA